rnacentral:rRNA from 1 species
AUUCUCUUUGACUAGGGAUCCAAAGAGGGUGCUAGACCCUUACGCAUUGUUGACUUUUCGUACGCGUUCGUUUCUUGGAGUAGGGUUGUUUUGGAUCGCAGCCCAAAGUAGGUGGUAUACUUCAUCUAAAGCUAAAUACGACUACGAAUCCGAUAGCAAACAAGUACCGUGAGGGAAAGUUGCAAAGUACUUUGAAGAGAGAGUUCAAGAGGACGUGAAACCGGUAGGAUGGAAGCAGAUAAAGUUGACGAACGUGUAUCGUAUUCAGAUCUACAAUUUGUGGGUUGUUUUUACGAUCGAUGUGGGCUGGCGUCUUUGGUUAACUUAGUGUCUGGCGGCAAUGGUGACCCUGCGGAGGGAUAAUCGGUUGUCGUGCGAUGCUGGGUAUGGCUAGAGGUUCGCUGGUCUUAUAGUCAUCGCUUUAUCUGACCCGUCUUGAAACACGGACCAAGGAGUGUAGCGCUUACGCGAGUCUUAGAGUGUGUCAAAACUUUGAGGCGUAACGAAAGUAAAUGUGGAUUUAUUCACUGACUUGGGAUGCGUUGUCUUUUUUGGAUAGCGUUGGACCAUGGUUUUAUCGUAAUCGCUUGCGAUGCGGUGAAAAUAGAGCGUAAGCGGUGCGA